UCGGCCUCCUGAGGAGCGAUCCCUCGCUGGAAAGGGUGGUCGCUCAGGCAGGUCUGGCACAGCGGAGGCUCCAGCUCCGAAUCCCCUGGAGCUCCCGACCUGGCGCACUAGGGCAGGAAGGACACUAUUUACAAGUGUAAUACGCUGUGCUUGCAGGGCGCGAUGUCAGCCUUGUGCGCUUCAUUUGCUCUUCCUUCACUUCUGUGACUGCCUGUUUUCUGCCACGUGAAUCAAAAGUAUUGGAUUUUCUAACAAGUGGAAGUCCAUAUCGCAGCAACUGGUUACCAGGAUCACGUACGACAAACAAACAGAAUGGGAACGUAUCUAACCAGCCUUUGGCUGGUGACUCCUCCGUGAGCGAUACACCCGCAAUUGCCCCGCUGUGCUGACCCGCCGGAAAUCGCAAGGUCAGGACAUUUUUUUCUCUCCUCUCUAUGGAAACCAAGCAAACAGAUGUCCUUCGGUGAGCAAAUGAGCCGCUUCCCACUGCAUUCCCCAUUUGCGUUUUUUAGCAGCAUCAGUUCACGUGGAUGAUGUUAGCCCCUGCUCCUCUCUUCUGGAGCACCCCUACAACGUCCGCCCCCCUUUUGCUUGCUACAGCUCCUGGCUGCCGUAGCGGGCAGGUGCCCUGUCUGCGUGCUUUUGGAACACAUUUUACAGCAGUGAAACCCAAGUGCUUA